CAAAAUACAUUCAUAAUCCGAUAAAAUUGUAAAAAUAUAGAGAUCUUAGCAUGGCCGUGCACAAGGAUGACACCCACAAUUCAAGAAAUGGUGAAGAAAACC
rnacentral:snRNA from 1 species